AUCUUUCUGCUUAGCAAUACAGCAAUCACUUCAUGCUACCUCCUCACUCAUUCCCAAGAGAAGAGUGCUAACAUGAUAAGUUAGAACGUAGCCAUGUGGCAUCAAUAAGUAGAAAACUGAAUUUUAAGAAGUUUAGAAGCAUUAGACAAACUCAAAUCCUUCCUGGGGGAGGAAGUAAGAAUUCAUGCUUGGAUGUUCAGCUUGCGCCCAGCAAUAGUGGCCAGAGAAUCUGUGUUAUUUAUUACCCUAUAAUAAUUUAUCCCAAUACUUAACAGCUUAAGCCAACAAGCAUUUAUUAUCUCAUAGGUUUUAUGAAUCAGCAAUGUGGAGCCUUGGGUGAAGUGAGGCUUCAGUCAGGUGUGGACUGAGAGCUACAGUCAUUUGGAGGCUUGACAGAAGCAAGAGAUCAGUCAGGAUGUCCUAUUCAUGAGCCUCUUGGUAAGGCUGUUAUUUUUCAGUGUAACUGUUAUUUUUCAGUGUAACCGAGUACCUUCAAAAUUGACCCAGGAUAGAAAGAGGAAGGCAGAAGCCACAGUCUUUGUGAUCUAAUCUGAUUAUUUUGAUCACACAGAGUAACCCUGACACAAUGCAUGGACAGACCACAUAAAGGCAUAAAUGCCAAGAGGUGGGAAUCAUUGGUGGCCAUCUUGGAAGACUGCUACCCCAGUGGCCUGAAGCUGAUUAGAGAGGAAUUGAAUGUUUGCAACACAAUGAAUGACAAGUGUUUUGAGGUGAUGGAUGUCACACUGUGCCCUAUUUACUCUGUUUAAGCAGUGGCCACUAACUACACAUGGACCUACCUCCACUGAGAAAAGGUGUCAAGUUGCAGGUGCCAGUGUGAUCCCUUAGGUAGUACUAGAAAUUUUAUUGAAAAAUUUGCCUUUGCUAUAUACAUAUUCACUUUUUUUAAAUUCCAAGAAAACAGAGCUACAAUCCUAGCUGAAGUUACAA
rnacentral:lncRNA from 1 species